GACGAACGCUGGCGGCGUGCUUAACACAUGCAAGUCGAGCGGUAAGGCCCCUUCGGGGGUACACGAGCGGCGAACGGGUGAGUAACACGUGAGCAAUCUGCCCUUCACACGGGGAUAACUUCGGGAAACCGGAGCUAAUACCCGAUACGACCACCUCGGGCAUCCGAUGGUGGUGGAAAGCUCCGGCGGUGAAGGAUGAGCUCGCGGCCUAUCAGCUUGUGGGUGGGGUAACGGCCCACCAAGGCAACGACGGGUAGCCGGCCUGAGAGGGUGACCGGCCACACUGGGACUGAGACACGGCCCAGACUCCUACGGGAGGCAGCAGUGGGGAAUAUUGGACAAUGGGCGAAAGCCUGAUCCAGCAACGCCGCGUGAGGGAUGACGGCCUUCGGGUUGUAAACCUCUUUCAGCAGGGACGAAGCGCAAGUGGCGGUACCUGCAGAAGAAGCACCGGCCAACUACGUGCCAGCCGCCGCAGUAAUAC
rnacentral:rRNA from 1 species